rnacentral:rRNA from 1 species
CCUACGGGAGGCAGCAGUGAGGAAUAUUGGUCAAUGGACGAGAGUCUGAACCAGCCAAGUCGCGUGAAGGAUGACUGCCCUAUGGGUUGUAAACCUCUUUUAUAUGGGAAUAAAGUGCUCCACGUGUGGGUCUUUGCAUGUACCUUAUGAAUAAGCAUCGGCUAACUCCGUGCCAGCAGCCGCGGUAAUACGGAGGAUGCGAGCGUUAUCCGGAUUUAUUGGGUUUAAAGGGUGCGUAGGUGGAUUGUUAAGUUAGGUGGGAAAGUUUGGGGCUUAACCAUAAAAUUGCCGUUGAAACUGGCAGUCUAGAGUGGGGUAGAGGUAGGCGGAAUGCGUGGUGUAGCGGUGAAAUGCAUAGAUAGCACGAAGAACUCCGAUUGCGAAGGCAGCUCACUGGAGUACAACUGACACUGAGGCACGAAAGUGUGGGUAUCAAACAGGAUUAGAUACCCGAGUAGUC